GAUCGCAUGUCCGAGUGGUCAGGAGGCCGCCUGCAAAGCGGUUCACGCCGGUUCGAAUCCGGCUGCGAUCUC
rnacentral:tRNA from 1 species